AGAUUUGGUCGUAGUGCCGCGACCAAGGUAAUCAAAAAAAAGGCCACUGAGA
ncrna:unclassified sequences 6A RNA